GUAUCCGUCCUAUAUAUUGAUUUUCAUAUUAGUGAGUAAGUAGUACAAUGUCAUUGCAAUGAAGAAGUUGAUAAUAUUAUUGCAUAUAUGUAAGAAAGCAAAUGCAUCUGCUUUGUGUAUUACACAAAUUUCAACUUAUGCUCAUAUGAUAAUUCUCUUUUCGAACUUAAAAGGCUUCUCUAGAGAAAAUUGAGAGACAUGUUCUUCAAAUUGAUCACAAUAGCCAUGUUGCCAUUAAGAUUAGCCACCAAAAUGCUGUAGAAAACAUGACCAAGUGCCUCCACAUGAUUUUAUUGGAAUUGUUGAUUUUAAAAAUCCAAUUUAAAAACAAAACAUUGCUAUGUAAUCAUGAAAACCAAAGAAUUGAAAAAUAACAUCAAAUUUCUUUCCUUCUCUAAGUUCGUUCCUGCAAAACCAGGAAGAAAAAUAAUGUCUUACAUAAAAGAGAGGACACUUUGGCUAAAGCUCUUCAUUUACUGGACUCGGAAAAUUUGCUUACUACCAAAUUUAUUUAUCCCAAAAAUAAAAAGAAAAUACUUUUUGAUAUAGAAGCAUCAUCUAUUGACUACAAAUUUCAAGUAUUUCUUGGGAGUAACAAUGUCACACAAGUAGAUAUGAGAAUUAAGAUGGGCGUCUUCUCCUUAUCAGUUCUAAAAUAUUUCGAGUAGACUCCCUACAUGUGAUUACUUAGGUCAGAUGGUAAGUGUUGAAGCUCCUGUUAGUGUUCGCUCUUUAUCAGAGGUAUCAUGAGACAUAGAUACAAUUCUAAACCUAUUGAUAGAACAUAUAAAUUAUUACCCUGUAUUUUGUUUUUAAUAUAUAACCCGUCUCAUUUCAGCCUUCAAGUACCUUUCUUGUCCAUUUGUUUACCUCAAGUCAGUAACUCCAAAAUGGCAAGAGAACUUUUCAUUGUUAAUGAUAUCUUUGAUAGAGCAUUUUCUACUAACAGCUUGCUCAAACAUGUUGGUCACUUUCCAUGUUAAUGCAGUGAGCCUCAAGUCCAUUUCUCGUGAUUAUAGAUGCUAGAAUAACUAUAAUAUUCAGACGUUGAAGAGUCUAAAGACAUCUCGGAAGCAUUUGACAAAGAAGGGUUAUCCUCAUCCUAGAGAGAAAUCAGUAAGCAUGUUAACUUCAAGUCAUAUGUAUAAUAAGUAAUUACCGAGAAAUAAAAAAUGAUUCAGAAACAAUGAAUUACAUCAAGUGACUAAUAUGCUCUGCCUAUUAAAUUUGUAAGAUUUAAGCUCUAUCUGGUACACUAACUUUAAACUUUAAGUUACGGGACUUAGCACACAGGACCUUUGUUUGUUAUAGGGGAACCAUCUCUAUUAGUCAAGCUUGACAGUCACUACCUAACGUUUUUGGUAAAUAAAAAUUCAAUAUGUCCGAGAAUGAAAAUGAGGACAUAUUCAGCAGAAAGUUUGAAAGUUUAUUGAACCAAAAUAAAUGAUAACCCAAUUACUGCUUAAGGAUAGGGCAUACUUCAGGAAAGGUUGAGAGAAAUAGAAAACCUGAACUCCACAUGAAGUCCCAUUUCAUUAAAAUUCAUCACAUAUCAAAAGAUAGAGAUCAUGCCAAAUCAUAUUAACUUGUAUUGAUGAAUUGUUUAAGGUAAAUUUAAUAGUAGGCUAUGAUUUUAAACAUCCAAUGCAGAAAAAUACUUUAUAUAUCUGCAGAUAGACAUGAACAUAAUCUAAAGCAAAUACAUACAUAUUACAUAGAGUACAAAAGACAAUUGAUCUCGUGCUUCAAUCAUCUUAGGAAUAUCCUCAUGCUAAAGGGAAGAAAUUAUCACUAACAUGGUGCCUCCAUUAGUUGGAGGCACAAGUUAUUCCUAAGUUUAAAUAUCGAUUCAAAACUAUAAAAGAUACUUUGAACAAGAAAAAGAAAGAAGCAGUAAACCAGUGAAAGUGAAUUACCAACCUGACCAGCAAGUGAGAAUAGCAAGAUUCCCCUUGACCUCCUUGGGGAGUUGGCAGUUGAAUUCAUCAAAAGAAUAAA
rnacentral:lncRNA from 1 species